rnacentral:lncRNA from 1 species
GCUUCUUUUCACACAAGAGAGUAUCAAUCAAUACUUGUUGGAUGAGCACAUCCUUCCCCCUCGCUUAUCAUAGGAAGAAAUUGCUCUUCUCAUCAUACUGAUCGAUUUCUACUUUGAUUGAGCUUGUCUUCUCUAUCUUCUUCAACCUUGAUCAACACCACCGUAAUAUCAAAUAACUGUGUGCUCUGAUACCACUUGUUAAAAAGGAUCCCUUACAAGUGCAGAAUACGGAUCUCCCACCCA